AGAAAGAAGGUGACAUGUUUAUGGACCCAGAACUAGCUAAGACAGCUAAGACUCUGUGUACAUGCGAAUCACUUCAAGAAUCUUCUUGAUGAAAGAAGCUUGUGUGGUUUGUUAAAAGACUUCGAUCCGCUCACAGCCAUGCAGAUUAAGACGAAUUUAGAUCGACAUUAUUUUGAUAACAAUGAAAACUCAAAUGCUUGAAACGAAAUGAGUGGAGUUGAACGACGCCUGUUUAUCGAAACUACAUCAAUCAACUUUUCAACUAUGCAGGUGAUCGAUCUGGAGAGAUGAAAACAGUCUUAUGAUCUUCACACAGUCUCAGCUUUUUGGCAUUUACUAAUAUCUGAUGAACGGAUUUCAAAAUGUACAAGGCAUCAUAUCAAAGAUUGCAUAUGCCCGAAAGAAGGACAAAUCCAAUUUGGCUCUCUGGAUGUAUGGAAAGCUCUCAACCUUCCAGAAAAGGACUGUUCAAAGGAACACUUAAAUCCCUCCGACAGGCCCUCUGGUGGUGACGUAUAAGUGCUUUCUCAGUACUUUCUCUCGCUUUUGGACAAAUUCA